rnacentral:tRNA from 1 species
GGCGGGAUACCGAAGCGGUCAAACGGGACUGGCUGUAAACCAGUUGGCUAUGCCUUCGUAGGUUCGAAUCCUACUCCCGCCACCA